rnacentral:rRNA from 1 species
UCGUCCAGAUCUGGUGUAUUUUGAGACUAACCCGAAUGACAAGGACGGGAGUAGCCCUUACAACAAGAUCUGGAUUGUCGAAAUCAGCGUGGUGUGGCAUUCCCGCAUAGUUGAGGCGGAACUUGAAAAACGCCAAAAGUAUGCAGUGAAUUCCAUCGAAGGGGGAAGCAGACCGGAUGAGAACUUGAUGAAUAUCUUACAAAGGUCAUACCGAUGUAAGGUCAUCAUGGUUCCCAUCAUAGUAGGUGUCUUUGGUGAGGCCGGGGAAUCGUUGAUUGAAAACCUUCGAUUGCUUGAACUCUCAGCAAACGACACCGAAGCUUUGGUCGAAAGGUUGCAGAGGAGCUCUGUACUGGGCACACAUGCCGUAAUCAGCGCUCAUCUUGCAAACUCCCCUGUCUGAGUGUCCUGAAGGUCGCUUGCUGGACGAGCGACUGAGAUCUCGAUCCCUACUGGGAACCCCCUAUGGGAACAGAACCAGAGAAGGGUCGGGAGAGGGGGCGGCGGUGACGCCGUCUGGAACAAUAAACACAGGGACGCGCACCCGGAUGACGCGUAUAAACACUUGAACGCGUGGUGCAUGCCUUUUCGAGGUAACCGGGAUAACUAGGUUCCUUGCUACUCUGGAGCCGAAACUAAACAGCACCUAGACGGUGGUGGCCUGGCAGAGCCACCGCUUGUCGAAAAGCAAAUCUGUGCCGAGUCCUGCUGUAUUCUACCACCCUCGCGACCAUAGUGCUUGGGUUAACUAUUUGUUUGGGGGCUUUUCCUUGCCAUUGACUGGCCGGCAGUCCUUGGUGUUUUGGAUGCAGUAGGUACUCAAGCGAGUGAGCCCUAGCACUCGUCAAAAAGGGUCUUUAUGGCCCGAACAACGGCCGAAGCGGACUGGCUAGACUGGCUGUCUGCGCACCGUCACAAAUAUGUGCUAGACUGGCACUCAUCAUGUGACAUGGCUGGUGAGUUCCCCUACGAGGGAACGGGAACUAGGCGGGCGUGUGUCGGAGGUCCACUUGGGUUCGUGGACAACAAUGUGAAGACUGGGGUAGCGAAUUUGCUCAAAUUGAGUCCCGUGAAGCCCCCGUACACAAGGUGGGGGAUAACUAGAUUGCCGGAGCGGAAGGUGUGAUUGCGAGUUCUUGGUCCUACUGGCGGCAAGUGCCGCGGUGCCUUGCUGCUGACUGCUGGCGACUCUCACGCUCAACGCCUGGGCAGGAAGCGACAAUGAUGCAGCGCUUAAGCGAGUCUGGAUAGAGGACAAGCACUCACCCUUCUUAACCAGCAUGAAGGUAGUCCCUGCGCUUAGUACAGGUGAAGUUCGCAAUUGAAACCCCAGUCUAACUUGUAGUCUCCGAGGACUGACGGUACACGUCUAACUAUUGUUAGUUGAUCAUGUGCUUAUUGAUCACUAUUGUGUUUAACUUGAGGAAAUAAGAGUGAUCUGGGCUGUUGGUCAUGCUCCGAAGACCAUAAGGCUCAGGGAACUCGGGUGAACGGGGUAGCGGCAUAAGUAUGUGAAGCGGCCACACCCUGUGAGCCUUGCCUUGAAGUGGCUUGGUGAACAUGGCAGCGACGAGGGGAACGUCGUAGCCAAGUGAACCGAGCCAAGGAUUAUUUUCUCUUGUGGUGCACAAGCCUGAUGGAUACACCGUACAAACCGUUUAAAAGAGGUGUAUCCUCCUUAGGUCUGUGGUUUAUGUGGUGCAUGUAUCGAACAGUAGGCAGAGGAAUCGCAGGAUUGCUACUUUCCGUGUGAUGACUCUUAGGGUUCCAACCCUCCGGGUGCUGGUCCGCCCGGAGGCUUUCGUGUAGAAGGGAGCAGUGCGGCAUGGAUCUCAAAUGCUUCGGGAAGAGACUAGCGCAUUGCACACUGGCGGCCAUAAUGCCAGUGUCAAAAAGGUCCUGUGGAGGCGGGUUCGCAUUACCUGCUAAAGAUACAGACCAGCCGUUACUAUGGGGAGCGUCGGUAACGGGCUCUUCGAGAGUAACGGGACGCGCACGAAUGGAUCAACGAGAUUCCCACUGUCCCUAUCUACUAUCUAGCGAAACCACAGCCAAGGGAACGGGCUUGGCAAAUUUAGCGGGGAAAGAAGACCCUGUUGAGCUUGACUCUAGUCUGACUUUGUGAAGAAUCAUGAGAGGUGUAGCAUAAGUGGGAGCCGCAAGGCGCCAGUGAAAUACCACUACUUUCAUCGAUUCCUUACUUAAUCGGUAAAACGGGAGUGCGCCCGCAUGGGUGUCCAUUUUGGUGUUAAGGCGGGCCACCCGGUGGCCCGUCGACCCGCGCCGAUGACAGUGUCAGGCGGGGAGUUUGACUGGGGCGGUACAUCUGUCAAAGCGUAACGCAGGUGUCCUAAGGCGAGCUCAGAGAGGACGGAAACCUCUCGUGGAGCAAAAAGGCAAAUGCUUACUUGAUCCUGAUUUUCAGUACGAAUACGGACCGCGAAAGCGUGGCUUAUCGAUCCUUUUGAAUUGUAAAGUUUCCAGCAAGAGGUGUCAGAAAAGUUACCACAGGGAUAACUGGCUUGUGGCGGCCAAGCGUCCAUAGCGACGUCGCUUUUUGAUCCUUCGAUGUCGGCUCUUCCUAUCAUUGCGAAGCAGAAUUCGCCAAGCGUUGGAUUGUUCACCCACCAAUAGGGAACGUGAGCUGGGUUUAGACCGUCGUGAGACAGGUUAGUUUUACCCUACUAAAGACCGGUUGCUAUGAUAGUAAUCCUGCUUAGUACGAGAGGAACCGCAGGUUCAGACAUUUGGUUCAUGUGCUUGGUCGAUAGACCAAUGGUGCGAAGCUACCAUCUGAGGGAUUAUGACUGAACGCCUCUAAGUCAGAAUCCCGCCUAGGCAAGAUAGCAAUACCAUUGCUCCCCGGUGUCGGGAGGCACUCUGUAUGCCCUCUUCUCUGAGGUGCAGCCCAAAUGCCCCAGCAUCUGGCCCGAUGCGAGCGCUUAGUUGUGCUCGCAUUGCCAUAGCCGUAGCACUCGUGUGCCAUGGUGGAACGUCGGGGCGCAAAAUCACUUGUAUACGACUUGACUACUGGUCAGGGGGUUGUUAGCAGUAGAGCAGCUUUUAUACUGCGAUCUGUUGAGACUUAGCCCUUGAUCGGAUGAUUUGUCUUCCUU